UGCUCAAAUUUCCCCUCCAAAGUUAGAGAGAGCAGGCGAGCAAAGUCCUACACUGAGCUCCAAUGCUGUGAAAAAACCCACAGAUCACGACAAAGGAAGAGUUGUGUCAAGGAGAGGUGAUCUUUCAUGACUU